CACGCAUGACACACUGCAUAUCAAUAAGCGGAGGAAAAGAAACUAACAAGGAUUCCCCUAGUAACGGCGAGUGAAGCGGGAAGAGCUCAAAUUUGAAAUCUUAAAGGGUUUCCCUUGACGAAUUGUAGUUUUAAAGAAGUGUUUUCUGUUAGAGAGGUUCGGUAAAAGUUCUUUGGAAUAGGACAUCAUAGAGGGUGAGAAUCCCGUAUUUGAUCCAUUAUUUCCUAACUGUGUGAUACACUUUCAAAGAGUCGGAUUGUUUGGGAAUGCAGUCCAAAAUGGGUGGUAAAUUUCAUCUAAAGCUAAAUAUUGGCGAGAGACCGAUAGCGAACAAGUACCGUGAGGGAAAGAUGAAAAGAACUUUGAAAAGAGAGUUAAACAGUACGUGAAAUUGUCAAAAGGGAAGCGUUUGACACCAGUGUUGUUUUCUCGAAAAUCAAUUAAAAAUGAUGGGAUUUUGUGUUGUAUUGACUUUAUCAGCUUUCUGCACUUUUUUCUUAUCUUUUUUAAUGCACUUUUCGUUUAACAAGUCAACAUCGAUUUCUUUUGUUGUAAAAGGGUCAUUGGAAGGUGGCUUUCUUUUCGGAGAAAGUGUUUAUAGCCUUUGAUCUCUGCAACCGGAGAGACUGAGGUCUGCAGCGUAGACUCUUCGGGGUUAGAUACAUUUGUGCUAAGCUAUAGCUUUUUAUAGACAACUUGUUGACUAUAUUUAGUCUUGUGGCUUACUCGCUUAUGCUAUUUUACCUACGCUUAGGAUGUUGAGUCGUAGAGCACGCAG
rnacentral:rRNA from 1 species